rnacentral:lncRNA from 1 species
GGAUAAGAGAGGUGAAUCUCUUGAACAAGGAAAUAAUGAGAGUGGUCCGCUACAUUCUCAAGCAAGACAUCCCGUCGUCUUUAGAAGAUGCUCUGAAGGUGGCCCAAGGGUACAGGCUGUCCGACGACGAAAUCUACAGUCUAAGGGUCAUUGAUCUGAUUGACCGAGAUCAGGUGUGGGGCUUUAGGUCGUGUCAUAGGCUGCUACGCUGACUCCACCUCGUGACACUAAACUGUCCAAGCUACCUUCACAAAACAAAGGAAACAACCACUGUCCUUGCUAGCUCAGCAGGGAACAUAAAGGAACUACUUUUGUGUACUUUUGAAA